rnacentral:rRNA from 1 species
GAUGAACGCUGGCGGCGUGCCUAAUACAUGCAAGUCGAGCGAAUGGAUUAAGAGCUUGCUCUUAUGAAGUUAGCGGCGGACGGGUGAGUAACACGUGGGUAACCUGCCCAUAAGACUGGGAUAACUCCGGGAAACCGGGGCUAAUCCCGGAUAACAUUUUGAACCGCAUGGUUCGAAAUUGAAAGGCGGCUUCGGCUGUCACUUAUUGAUGGACCCGCGUCGCAUUAGCUAGUUGGUGAGGUAACGGCUCACCAAGGCAACGAUGCGUAGCCGACCUGAGAGGGUGAUCGGCCACACUGAGACUGAGACACGGCCCAGACUCCUACGGGAGGCAGCAGUAGGGAAUCUUCCGCAAUGGACGAAAGUCUGACGGAGCAACGCCGCGUGAGUGAUGAAGGCUUUCGGGUCGUAAAACUCUGUUGUUAGGGAAGAACAAGUGCUAGUUGAAUAAGCUGGCACCUUGACGGUACCUAACCAGAAAGCCACGGCUAACUACGUGCCAGCCGCCGCAGUAA